GUCUUCUUGAUAAAAUAGGAAGUCUGACCUGCCCAGUGAAAAUAUUUUAACGGCCGCGGUAUAUUGACCGUGCAAAGGUAGCAUAAUCAUUAGUCUUUUAAUAGAGGGCUGGAAUGAAAGGUUUAACGAAGUACUUACUGUCUCAUUUAAUUUGAUAUUAAAAUUUACUUUUUCAGUCAAAAAGCUGAAAUACUAUUGGAAGACGAGAAGACCCUAUAGAGCUUUAUAUUUAGUUAUUUAAUAAAUUUUUGAUAUAAUUAUUAUUUAUUAUUUAAUAAAAUAUUUUGUUGGGGUGACAAAAAUAUAUAAUUAACUUUUUUAUUUAUAUAACAUUGAUAUAUGAAAAAUAGAUCCAGUUUUACUGAUUGUUAGAAUAAGUUACCUUAGGGAUAACAGCGUAAUCUUCCUUCAGAGUUCAUAUUCACAGGGAGGCUUGCGACCUCGAUGUUGGAUUAAGAUUAUAAUUAGGUGUAGCCGCUUAAAAAAUAGGUCUGUUCGACCUUUAAAUUCUU
rnacentral:rRNA from 1 species